UAUAUGUGUGUGUGUGUUUGUGUGUGUGUGUGUGUGUAGACACACACACACACACACACACAUAUU